rnacentral:lncRNA from 1 species
UGCUCAUUUCGAAAUAGGUGAAAAACAAUUUAAUUUAUUGUUUUUGUGCUCAUGAAAAUAUAGAAAGAAUAAUAUUUUUCUUUAAAAUAAAAUUUAUCAUAAGGCUUAGCAACAAUUGUGUGUAGAACAUGCUGGUGCAUUUUAUUUCUGAGAUGAGUGAUUUUGACCAAAGUUUGAAAAUGGUUCAAACAGAUUUUUAAAUGGAUUUGAAGUAGGCUUUUGAUUAAAAGAAAAAAGAAAAAAAAGAAGAAGAGACAAAACCUCUCCUUUUCUUUCUCUCCAUCUCGGCCCAGCACCCCCUCCCCUUUCUCCCCUCGCGCGGCCCAGCUCGCGGCGCGGCCCAGUGUCGCCCCAGCCCAACCGCGCCUCCCUUCCCCUCUUCUCUCUCUGACCAGCGGGCCCCAUACUUUCUCCCUCUGACCGGUGGGACCCUUCUGUCAGCGCCUCCCUUCUCCCUUUCUUCCCCAGCGCACGCAACCGAGCCGGACUCCACACCGGUCAAGACAAAUCCCGAUUUUGACGGGAUUUGAUCUUCCCGAUCCCUAUAAAGAUCACCAACCUUGCCUCGAAUCUCGUUUUUCCACCCGAGCCGCAAAAACCAAGCCCUAGCUGCCUUCCCCACCCGAGUUGGAUCUCGCCGAAUUGCAAAGCAAGCCGCUGCCGCUGCGAGAUCCGUUCGCGCUUCCCCGGCUCGAACUAAGGGCGCAGGUGAGCUCGUCUCUCCCUCCUCUUUGCUCUGGUGCUCUUGGUUCGGCUUUUGGCGCAAGGAAUCGGGAGUUUGAAGAAUGCCGACGAGCUUGGCGGCGGCAACAAUGGCCGCCACCGCGCCGGAGCAGGGAGCCGGCCGGUCGGCCGCCGCUGGCUUUCCCCUGGCGAAGGUGGACCGUCCGAUCGAGGAUGAAGGGAUAGGAUUAGAAGAUACCUCUUCGGCGGCAUUUUUGCUAAAGAAUCCCCGGAGAAAUCUACAAAAUAACCCGCGGUCCUUGGCGUAAACCACUGAAUACGUUUUCUCAAUUUUAAAAGCGUACUUUCGUCGGUUUAAAAGAAAAUUACGUUUUCAGUAUUUACAGUUUUGCCACCAGAUUUAAAUUGCUUAUAACAUGCUCAUCUUAAAUCCGUUUUGGUCCAUUCAAAUUGCGUUAGGUUCGUAAUUAUGAGUUUUACAUGUUAGUAACACUAUUUUCUCAGUUUGAAAUCUUUUAAUUUCGUGAUCCUAUUUAAUUAAUUACUUUCCUAUAUAAAAUCUUAGAAAAUUCAUAACUUCACCGUUUUAAUUCCGAUUUUCGUGAUCUUUACGUCUAUGAAAUCGUAGCGAUGCGUAGAAUCUUUUUAUAAACUUUUCAUACUGUUUUUAUAUGUUUGGUGUACUGUUCUAAUUAUAGCCUUGUUUGCUUCGUGUAUGUUUUCUCCGAUUGUUUGUGUGAUCGAUGAUCGAGUUUAGACGGGGAGCCGUUUCGGUGAUCAAGAGCAAAGCUUUGGCAACAAGUGAGACCAGCAGAACCAAAAGGAUUAGCAAGAUCAUUGGAUCGAGGCAAGUAUAGCAUUUGGAUUCUAUUUCUGUGACCAUGAUCCUGUGGCUAGAUUAAUGAUAAAGUAAUAAACGAUGAAAAAAUGACUUUUUAGCAACUUGAUGAUUUAUCUGUACGUGAUCACCCGGGACAACAGUGCAACCAUGAGGGCUAUAAUGGCUCUGGCUUUAGUUAAGUAUGAGUAACUUUUCUAGCUCGUUAGCGGUUACCCGUUGUGGCGCAAUUGGGGAAUAGCAGACCGUGGAUUCCUGCGGGUGAAUCACACGGACUGACUAAUGAAACCAAGCGGCCCUAACUUGUUAGACGAACCUUUGAAAGACUUCAUAGUGAUCCCUGCCGACCUCCCUAGGAAGGGGGUUAAGAGACUAGCUACCUCGGGCGAAAGGGUAAAUCAUGACUCAUGGGUAAAGAUGUGCAACCUCUGCAGAGGGUUAAAAACUAGUAUACUAGCCGAGCUCACGGUCAGGAGCGGCCUUGGGGACAUCUACAUUAAGGGUGAUGAUUCUUGUGUGUUAAAUAUGCUUAUUGUUUAUUGUUUAAUUCUUUACAUUAUUUAUGUCACAUUGAUCAUGAGAUUGUGGGAGCUAUACAAUCUAGUUGCUAUACUUGUGGAGUUCGACAUGGACUCACUCUUGCUAUUUUCCCCAAACCUCAGGAGAAGUUUAGGCUUGUGAUCAACCAGUCAGUUGGAUCCUGUAGAGUGGAGUUAAUACCCGAAGUUGGAGUUAUCUAUCCGCUGUUUGCUUUUAAAGGUUAUCUCUUUUAUACUAAGUACGUUAUAUAUUUAUGCAUUGUCUUUUGAUAUUACCCCUUAUUUGUAGCUAUAUGUGAGAUUUGACUUCUAAGACUCACAUAUGGUGCAUAUCUGGUUUUGUCCUUAAAAUCGGGUAUUACAAAGUGGUAUCAGAGCAAUGCUGACUGUAGGACGCAAGCCUAGUUAGAAAUUUGUCGUCUUAAGGUUUUGGAAUUGUCAUAAAACCCUUGCUCUAUAAACCUUGAUAUUUUUCUCCAUACUAUAUCCUUUUCAUUGCUAUUCAUCUUCACCUUGAUGCUUAUUUUAAAAGUACUUAUUCUCAUCCCCACUCCUUGCUUGAUAUGCUUUUAGAACUUUUUCUUACCACCUUCUUACAUCGUUGGAAUAGGUGUUUUAAGAUAUCUACCCUUGCUAUGAAGCGAACGAUAGUAUCACAAAUUGAGUGAAGUGUGCUUAAUUGGUUUGUUAUUAUGCUUAUGCUUGAUUUGGAUCUUUGUAACGAGUGCAAUGAUCUUGUGGGGUUUCUCCACAACAUCAUUUAGUUUAUAGGCCUAAGGCAUAAGGAGUAAUGACAUAAGUAGUUGGGUUUGGUUAUAUCCUGUUUCUAUCCCUUGCUGUUUUCUAGAGCAGUCUGCAAUAAUUCUGGUGUAUCUAAAGGUCCGAUCGUGCAAAGUUUAUCAAAUUUUUCUGGGAACAACUAGACUUCAAGAUCUUUCUCUGACCGCAAGAAUCACCCUCAUAGCUAUUAUGGUUUAGAAGUUACAAAAAUCACAAGAUGAUACAACUGUGCUGCCAAGAAUCUGGAUCAGUUUUGGUUGCUUACUGUUUGAGACAAACAUAGCUAUGGAAUUUGGAAAAGUUCUCUAUAGAAACGUUUAAGACAAUUUUCUAAGCUUUCCAACAGUAUAAGCUGGAAGUCAUUUGGAUAAGUAGAACCCGAGAUAUGAUAUUUACAGUUGGAUGUUUCUGUUCUGUUUCAAGAUCUGGACAGAUCUGGCAUUUACUAUUUUCAGCCAAGUUAAAAACAAAAUCAGGGAAAGCGUUGUAUACGAAAGAUGUAGAGGAUUUCAUAAGCUUUCCAACAAUAUAAGGAUCAUCUCCAGAUGAGUUAAGUAGCUCGAGAUAUAAUUUCUGGAAGUUACUGCACCUUUGCUGAGACAUUAUCAGGAAGGAUAUUAUGUUUGGUUGUUUUACCUAAGCUUAAAGACAGAAUCUAAGGAGGUCUUCUACAUGAAAGUUGUAGGGAAUUUCAUAAUCUUUCUAAUGGUAUAAGGUACAACUCUAUUGGAUUAACAAAAUGAGAGUUAUACCUGUUUUUCUAUGCUGGUGUUUUCAUAUCGUGGGAAAAUUUCAGGAUACAUGUUUGUUCUCUUGCACAGAAGCUCUUUGGGAUGUCAUAAGUUCUCAAUGUUAGUUAACUUGUCUGGAAAACUUGCUAGCUACCUUUCUUGCGUCCCCUGGUUGAUCUUUCUUAAGUGGGGUAGCCCAAAUAAAGGGGUUACAUGGAGAAGAAUUGCAUAAUGUUGGAUGGAUCAAGAGACUCGGUACAACGAAUUUUAAAGACUAUAUGAUGUGUAGCAUUUAAAAAGGUUAUGAGGACUCGUCCCUAAUGUCUCCCCAAUCAAUCUAAUUUUAAGGGGGGUAGUACCCUGAUAUCACAGGAUGAUGUAUUUUGAAGUGAUAAUUGUCUUCUGAGAUAUUCUAUGGUUAUGAUCAUCUAUCCUUGCCGUGUUACUGACGUUGGUCACUUGAUGACAGGGAGUGUAGUGUCCCAUGGAUUCGGAGCAUAAUAUGACGCCUCUCAUGGAUAGGUGGGAAGAAUAUGAUCAUUUUGCCUUUGAAGAAAGAUGCUAUGAGUAUGACAAAGCUGAGUGUUAUCAAAAUAAUAAUAUUGAAGAGCAAGUUGAUAAUGAAUCAAAUCAAAAUCCACAACGACGAAAGCGUAAAAGGAAAGCUCGUAAGAGGCACGCUCCUGGAAAUAAAGUGCAGCAAAAUUAUAUCAAUGGAAGACUGAACAAUGUGGAUAGGCAUAACAUUCAAGGAGCCACCAAAGUGGUGGGAGGCUAUAUUCAAGUGGACUCAGUACUAGUUUUUGCUCUGUUUGACCGAAGUGCUUCGCAUUCUUUCAUAUCCACCGACUUGGUAAAGACAAUCGAACGGGUGAAGUGUCCGACGAGAAAGCCUUUGUUAGUUCAAACCCCAAUGGGAGAAAUACAGGCAGAUCAGGUUUGCUCAAAUAUCAAUCUUGUCAUAAAGAAGGAAAACUUCACUGUAAACCUCAUUGUGCUAGAGUCACUCAAUAUUCCUUUGGUUCUUGGCAAUGGAUGGUUAUGUGCACACAAGGCAGUGAUCUAUGCUACCCAGUGGAAAAUAUUCUUAACUGCACCAUCAGGGAAAAGAAUUGAGUAUCAAGGUGGUCCACUCCUACCUGAGGAGGCAUAUCCAUGCCGAGGUAUCAUGUUUUCGAGUUGUAUAAGUUGAAAAGUUGGUAGUCAAGAUGGACAGUGAGCAAUUACAAAUAAUAGACAUCUUAUGGAAGUUUUGUUCACAAGUUGUAAUCCUGAAACAUAAGUGCUUGCAUUUGGAAUACAGGUUGUCAAGUUGAAAUAAGGAUCAAUAUCUUGUUCUUGUUUCUCUUUUGGAAUCUGUGCCUCUUCCGAAUCUCGAGGACGAGAUUCAUUUUAAGGGGGGUAGAUUUGUAACACCCAAAAUUUUGCUCAUUUUGAAAUAGGUGAAAAACAAUUUAAUUUAUUGUUUUUGUGCUCAUGAAAAUAUAGAAAGAAUAAUAUUUUUCUUUAAAAUAAAAUUUAUCAUAAGGCUUAGCAACAAUUGUGUGUAGAACAUGCUGGAGCAUUUUAUUUCUGAGAUGAGUGAUUUUGACCAAAGUUUGAAAAUGGUUCAAACAGAUUUUUAAAUGGAUUUCAAGUAGGCUUUUGAUUAAAAGAAAAAAGAAAAAAAAGAAGAAGAGACAAAACCUCUCCUUUUCUUUCUCUCCAUCUCGGCCCAGCACCCCCUCCCCUUUCUCCACUCGCGCGGCCCAGCUCGCGGCGCGGCCCAGUGUCGCCCCAGCCCAACCGCGCCUCCCUUCCCCUCUUCUCUCUCUGACCAGCGGGCCCCAUACUUUCUCCCUCUGACCGGUGGGACCCUUCUGUCAGCGCCUCCCUUCUCCCUUUCUUCCCCAGCGCACGCAACCGAGCCGGACUCCACACCGGUCAAGACAAAUCCCGAUUUUGACGGGAUUUGAUCUUCCCGAUCCCUAUAAAGAUCACCAACCUUGCCUCGAAUCUCGUUUUUCCACCCGAGCCGCAAAAACCAAGCCCUAGCUGCCUUCCCCACC